AUACAGCUUUCAUGUUGGAAUACGGAAAGCCGGAAACGGUCCGCCGCCGGAGGACGUGACUGCGGCCGAUUAGGUAGACGGUGGGGUAACGGCCCACCGUGCCGAUAAUCGGUACGGGUUGUGAGAGCAAGAACCCGGAGACGGACUCUGAGACAAGAGUCCGGGCCCUACGGGGCGCAGCAGACGCGAAACCUUUACACUGCACGACAGUGCGAUAAGGGGAUCCCGAGUGCGAGGGCAUACAGUCCUCGCUUUUCGUGACCGUAAGGUGGUCUCAGAAUAAGGGCUGGGCAAGACCGGUGCCAGCCGCCGCGGUAAUACCGGCAGCCCGAGUGAUAGCCACUCUUAUUGGGCCUAAAGCGUCCGUAGCUGGCCGAACGGGUCCGUCGGGAAAUCCACCCGCUCAACGGGUGGGCGUCCGGCGGAAACCAGUCGGCUUGGGACCGGAGGACCUGCGGGGUACGUCUGGGGUAGGAGUGAAAUCCUGUAAUCCCAGACGGACCACCGGUGGCGAAAGCGCCGCAGGAGGACGGAUCCGACAGUGAGGGACGAAAGCUUGGGUCUCGAACCGGAUUAGAUACCCGGGUAGUCCAAGCCGUAAACGAUGCUCGCUAGGUGUGGCGCAGGCUACGAGCCUGCGCUGUGCCGUAGGGAAGCCGAGAAGCGAGCCGCCUGGGAAGUACGUCCGCAAGGAUGAAACUUAAAGGAAUUGGCGGGGGAGCACUACAACCGGAGGAGCCUGCGGUUUAAUUGGACUCAACGCCGGACAUCUCACCGGCACCGACAAUGUGCAGUGACGGUCAGUGUGAUGAGCUUACCUGAGCCAUUGAGAGGAGGUGCAUGGCCGCCGUCAGCUCGUACCGUGAGGCGUCCUGUUAAGUCAGGCAACGAGCGAGACCCGCAUCCCUAAUUGCCAGCAACACCCAUGUGGUGGUUGGGUACAUUAGGGAGACUGCCGCUGCCAAAGCGGAGGAAGGAACGGGCAACGGUAGGUCAGUAUGCCCCGAAUGUGCCGGGCUACACGCGGGCUACAAUGGCCGAGACAGUGGGACGCUACCCCGAGAGGGGACGCUAAUCUCCUAACCUCGGUCGUAGUUCGGAUUGCGGGUUGAAACCCACCCGCAUGAAGCUGGAUUCGGUAGUAAU
rnacentral:rRNA from 1 species